rnacentral:misc_RNA from 1 species
CGCACAUUGCGCCCUCCGGUAAUCCGUUGGGCAUGCCUGUUCGAGCGUCAUUUAAACCUUCAAGCUCAGCUUGGUGUUGGGUGCUUGUCCUCCCCCGUGGUGGACUCACCUCAAAUGCAUUGGCGGCCGGCAUGUUGGCUUCGAGCGCAGUAGAAACGCGCCUGGUGUCUUGACAUGUUGGUCCUCCACAAGCCUCUCUUUUAUCUUGACCUCGGAUCAGGUAGGGAUACCCGCUGAACUUAA